rnacentral:rRNA from 1 species
ACGGGAGGCAGCAGUGGGGAAUAUUGGACAAUGGGGGAAACCCUGAUCCAGCGACGCCGCGUGAGUGAAGAAGUAUUUCGGUAUGUAAAGCUCUAUCAGCAAGGAAGAAAAUGACGGUACUUGACUAAGAAGCCCCGGCUAACUACGUGCCAGCAGCCGCGGUAAUACGUAGGGGGCAAGCGUUAUCCGGAUUUACUGGGUGUAAAGGGAGCGUAGACGGCAUAGCAAGUCUGAAGUGAAAUGCAUGGGCUCAACCCAUGAACUGCUUUGGAAACUGUUAAGCUAGAGUGCAGGAGAGGUAAGUGGAAUUCCUAGUGUAGCGGUGAAAUGCGUAGAUAUUAGGAGGAACACCAGUGGCGAAGGCGGCUUACUGGGCUGUAACUGACGUUGAGGCUCGAAAGCGUGGGGAGCAAACAGGAUUAGAUACCCUGGUA